UGCAUCGCCCUUUUUCCCCGCCUGGGCUCGCCAUGUUUAAGCUUCAUUUUGCCUCACUGCAAGCCAUUCCCCGCUAGUUGCUGCUACCGCCCCGCACUCGCCGGGUCUUUCUCCCAAGGCCUCGAUAUGGUGGUGAACGUGGCACGGAGGAGUCGGACCUUCCUACCCAGUGGGUCCGAGCUCCAGAAGGGACCCUCGGUCUUGAGAGGGGUCGGAUCCCACGGGGGCCGCGCCCUUCUCUCGCCUCGGCCUGUGCAACUCUGCUCUCUGGGCUGACAGGCGGAUAAAAAGGUCCCAUCAAGAUUGAGAAAAAGCACACCAAAUAUUGGCACAGCGUGGGCGGUGGGGCCUACAGGAUGACUGACUUAGUCAACAGAGAUUCCGGCGCACUUCCGCAGGUGUUCUCAUUUUGCUGUCCAGAUGAAGACUCUGAGAUGACAGAAGGUGGUCUGGUGAUCGAGGACUCCCAGGGUCACAUCAGUGAUGAAAUGCAGGGGGACCUGGUUGCCCCCAAGUUUCCUGGCAGUGUGUGAUCCUGAGGAGGUGAGCUUGUUUCUGGAGCUGUGCUUUAAGAUUCACGUUACAUGCAAAGCUGUCCUCGCGUGACUAUGGACCUAUGGAGUUGGGAGAAUCUCUAUAGGAAGCAGAAGGCAAGACCCCGGUCAUUUUAGGUAGAAACAACAGCAUGCUCUAGGUGCAGAUCAAUUAAAGAUUAAUAAA